rnacentral:rRNA from 1 species
CCCUUAGAUGUUCGGGGCCGCACGCGCGCUACACUGAAGGAAUCAGCACGUCUUUCUCCUUGUCCGAAAGGACUGGGUAACCCGCUGAACCUCCUUCGUGCUAGGGAUUGGGGCUUGUAAUUCUUCCCCAUGAACGAGGAAUUCCCAGUAAGCGCGAGUCAUAAGCUCGCGUUGAUUACGUCCCUGCCCUUUGUACACACCGCCCGUCGCUACUACCGAUUGGAUGGUUUAGUGAGAUCCUCGGAUUGGUCCCGGAGCGGCCUCUGGUCGUGCCGGAGUGCCGAAAAGAAUGUCGAACUUGAUCAUCUAGAGGAAGAAAAAGUCGUAACA